rnacentral:tRNA from 1 species
GUUCUUGUAGUUAAAGUUUAUAACGGCGGUUUUUCAGGCCGCAGGUCUCAGGGAAGGGCUGAGCAAGAACU